CGCUUCUUUUUCCACCGGAGCUUGCUCCACCGGAAAAAGAGGAGUGGCGAACGGGUGAGUAACACGUGGGUAACCUGCCCAUCAGAAGGGGAUAACACUUGGAAACAGGUGCUAAUACCGUAUAACAAUCAAAACCGCAUGGUUUUGAUUUGAAAGGCGCUUUCGGGUGUCGCUGAUGGAUGGACCCGCGGUGCAUUAGCUAGUUGGUGAGGUAACGGCUCACCAAGGCCACGAUGCAUAGCCGACCUGAGAGGGUGAUCGGCCACAUUGGGACUGAGACACGGCCCAAACUCCUACGGGAGGCAGCAGUAGGGAAUCUUCGGCAAUGGACGAAAGUCUGACCGAGCAACGCCGCGUGAGUGAAGAAGGUUUUCGGAUCGUAAAACUCUGUUGUUAGA
rnacentral:rRNA from 1 species